GCUCAGAAUGAACGCUGGCGGCGUGCUUAACACAUGCAAGUCGGAUGUGCCGCAGGGUGCAUGGCAGACGGGUGAGUAACGCGUGGGGAACCUACCUCUUUGUGGGGAAUAACGCUCCGAAAGGAGUGGUAAUACCGCAUGAGACCACUUGUUGGAAUAUGGGUGGUGAAAGCUGGGGCAACCUAGCGCAAGGAGAGGGUCCUGCGUCUGAUUGGCUAGUUGGUGGGGUAACGGCCUACCAAAGCGACGAUCAGUAGCCGGCCUGAGAGGGUGAUCGGCCACACUGGAACUGAGACACGGUCCAGACUCCUACGGGAGGCAGCAGUGGGGAAUUUUGCGCAAUGGGCGAAAGCCUGACGCAGCAACGCCGCGUGGGUGAUGAAGGUCUUCGGAUCGUAAAACCCUGUCGUCAGGGACGAAGGGUUGCGACCUAAUACGUCGUAACCUUGACGGUACCUGGAGAGGAAGCCCCGGCUAACUCUGUGCCAGCAGCCGCGGUAAUACAGAGGGGGCAAGCGUUAUUCGGAAUUAUUGGGCGUAAAGGGCGCGUAGGCGGUGAUUUAAGUGAGAUGUGUAAUCCCCGGGCUUAACCUGGGAACUGCAUCUCAUACUGGAUCGCUAGAGUGCUGGAGAGGGUGGUAGAAUUCCACGUGUAGCGGUGAAAUGCGUAGAGAUGUGGAGGAAUACCAGUGGCGAAGGCGGCCACCUGGACAGUAACUGACGCUGAGGCGCGAAAGUGUGGGGAGCAAAUAGGAUUAGAUACCCUGGUAGUCCACGCUGUAAACGAUGAACACUUGGUGUGGUGGGAGUUGACCCCUGCCGUGCCGUAGCUAACGCGAUAAGUGUUCCGCCUGGGGAAUACGGUCGCAAGGCUGAAA
rnacentral:rRNA from 1 species